rnacentral:rRNA from 1 species
AGAACGAACGCUGGCGGCAGGCUUAACACAUGCAAGUCGAACGCGUGUAGCAAUACACGAGUGGCGCACGGGUGAGUAACGCGUGGAUAUCUGCCUUUUGGUUCGGAAUAACCCCGGGAAACUGGGGCUAAUACCGGAUGGUUCCUUCGGGAUAAAGAUUUAUCGCCAAAAGAUGAGUCCGCGUACGAUUAGCUAGUUGGUGAGGUAAUGGCUCACCAAGGCGACGAUCGUUAGCUGGUCUGAGAGGACGAUCAGCCACACUGGGACUGAGACACGGCCCAGACUCCUACGGGAGGCAGCAGUGGGGAAUAUUGGACAAUGGGGGCAACCCUGAUCCAGCCAUGCCGCGUGAGUGAUGAAGGCCUUCGGGUUGUAAAGCUCUUUUGGCGGGACGAUGAUGACGGUACCCGCAGAAUAAGCCCCGGCUAACUUCGCGCCAGCAGCCGC